rnacentral:lncRNA from 1 species
UUGACUUUCUUUUCCAAGCCCCAGAUCUACAUUCUUUAGCAUGAUGCAUGGUUAUAUCAAGUGUGCUAGCUGGAGGUGGUGGGAGCCCUUCUGCUUUGGUGCCUGUUCGUUGACGAACACCAACGAGGUAUGCGCCCCUUUCUCUCCCUUUGCCGUUGUGUGUAGGAGGAGCUCCUUGUUUGCAGGAUAAUCCAUGUGUUUCCUUGCUCUAUAGGUUUUCCUCCAAAAUAUAAAUAUUUGAAACUGAUAAGAGAUCAACUGUCUGUACAAAUGCCAAGCUAGG